rnacentral:lncRNA from 1 species
GCUCUCCUUCAUCUGCAAACUCCACAUAAUCUUCUUUUACCUCUUCCAAAAUAGUCUCAUCUUCACUUUCAAUUUCUUCUUGUAACUCCCGAAUGAACAUCACCCUCUUGUUUGGACAUUCAGAGGCUAUAUGACCGUAACCAAGACACUUGAAACACUUGAUAUCUCGACUUCAUCUGGGAGGUUGUGAAUUCCCCACCUCUUUUUCUUUGGCUGCAUCUAUGACUUGCUUGCUAGAAUCACCUUUUUCUACUUGUUUUGG